CCAGCUGAUAUUCAUUUGGCCUGACAAGGGUUUGGCUUGCCGUUUAAUUAUUGAUAGAUUUUAGGUGAUGUCUUUUCAUUGAGUCAUUUAACAUUUUUACACACAACUUAAUUUCUCAGUUUAUUUGCUCUACUUUCUUUGUCUGUAUGGAUUAUUUGGUUUGUUAUCAACAUCUGGUGAAAUUUUCAGUUUAUCCAGAUUUGGCAAACAUGCAUACUGAAUCAUUAGAGGAGGACCGCACAGAACAACAAUGACGUCUGAGGAUGGAGCAGGCAGGACCUUGUGGAACAUGCAUCUCACCCAAAGUCAGCUAGGAUAUGCUCCACUCACCAGAAAUAAAAUAAAGAGGAUUCGCGGCCAGAACGGGCUGGAGAUAGCGAGAGAGACAUAUCCCGCACUCUCCUCGCGAGCAAAAGUUCCUCUUUUGAGGAGGGUGCUCCACAGCGCCUAAACGGAAGAGGCGUCACAUGACGAAACGGAAGUGAUGUUACAGCAGAGCGCCUGAUGUGAUGUCAAAAAAGUGAGUCUCGGACAUUCGUUACUCUAUAUGAGAAGACAUCACGCGUUUGCUUUGUUUGUGACUUUCUGUACUGCAUUAAAAAAAAUGUUUCAUUGUUAUUGUUUAACUAGAUGCUUUUACUGUUGUCAUUUUUGUCUCAGGUAUGUAAAAUAUAAAUGCUGUACGGUUGAUUAAACAGUACAGGACA